rnacentral:rRNA from 1 species
AUACGAAGGUGGCGAGCGUUACUCGGAAUGACUAGGCGUAAAGGGCAGGUAGGUGGUUUGAUAAGUCGGAUGUGAAAGCCCUGGGCUUAACCUGGGAAUGGCAUUCGAAACUGUCAGACUAGAGUAUGGUAGAGGGAAGUGGAAUUCCGGGUGUAGCGGUGAAAUGCGUAGAUAUCGGGAGGAACACCAGCGGCGAAGGCGGCUUACUGGGCAGUGCCUGACGCUGAGGUGCGAGAGCGUGGGGAGCAAACAGGAUUAGAAACCCCAGUAGUCC